rnacentral:rRNA from 1 species
GGUGUUGCAUGGCUGUCGUCAGCUCGUGUCGUGAGAUGUUGGGUUAAGUCCCGCAACGAGCGCAACCCUCAUCCUUAGUUACCAUCAGGUAAUGCUGGGGACUUUAAGGAAACUGCCAGUGAUAAACUGGAGGAAGGUGGGGAUGAUGUCAAGUCAUCAUGGCCCUUAUGGAGUGGGCUACACACGUGCUACAAUGGUGGCUACAAUGGGCUGCAAAGUCGCGAGGCUAAGCUAAUCCCUUAAAAGCCAUCUCAGUUCGGAUUGUACUCUGCAACUCGAGUGCAUGAAGGUGGAAUCGCUAGUAAUCGUGGAUCANCACGCCACGGUGAAUACGUUC